GGCGGGGCAGCUGGUGUUGUGAAUCAGGCCGUUGCCCAUCAGAGAACGGCUACUUCACAACACCAGGGUCUCACCC
rnacentral:pre_miRNA from 13 species